UCCCCCGCUCCUUCCCUCUCUGCUUUCAUUCCUUACUUUAUAACCAAUUCAAUUCUGAGGAUUGUUUGCUUCUUUAUCUCCUUCAUGCAUUCCAUUUCUUUGGUGUCUUCUUUAGGCGUGGGACUGUGGCAACCGAGGGGUUAACUUGCCCUAUUUUUGGACAGUUAACCAUUCACUAGUAAAAGUUAGUUUUGUUCUUCUUUCUGUUUAUUCUUUUGAGGACCUAAGAAUAUUAAAGCUUGGUAUUUGAUACGCUCGUCCUUUUUUUUUUGUUUUAAUGAUCAGUGCUGCUGUCAAUCUCAUUCUAACCUGCUUUUGAGUUAUGCUUUGAACCAUUCCUGUUAACCUGCUUGUCACUCUGCUACUUUUUUCUUUAGGUACCAUUUUUUAUUGCAUGGCAAUUUGAGGUUCCUUUCAGCAGAUUAGAGGAAAGGUUGGGAAUAAGGUUAUGCUAAUGAUUUUCUUAGAACUAUAUUAGCAUGAAGAUUUUGAAGGCUGGAUAUGAUAGGGUUGUUGAUUUUAUGAGCUGGGAACAACCCAGGAUCCAAUUUGGGAUGGGAUUGGGAUGGGGUGAAGGGAAUGGGAGAAAUGAGCUUCUUAGGGAGGAUUAGUGUGUUCCUCUGUUGUUGCUUGUUAUUUCCCAUCUUUGGAAAGCGUAACCAUUCAUAUGGUUUGAAACAUUCAGGCAGAUUCACCCCCUUUUUCUUUCUAAUAGAAAAAGAAAUGUUGAUUCAUAUGCUAAUUGUAAACUUAAGGAUUCAGUAGUGUUGAAAUAUAUUGAUUGGCUAAACACUCAUCGAGGGAGAGAAAGAAAUGGAUGUUGUGAGACAGGAGUUCAGAGUUCUCUAUGAUGGGGUUGCGCUUCUUGUGCUGCACAUUUAUCUGUCUUUCUUUUGUCUCCUCAAGAUAACUCCAUUCCUUGUGCCUUUAAACUAGAUGUAUCCGUAGAUCUUUACUAUAAAAAAGUGAGAUUUUAAUCUAGUGUUUAAUUUUAAAAUACACAAAAGAGUAUUAUUAAUCAGGUUCAUUAUCAUCUCAAAAUAAAAUGUAUAGAAGCAUCAUUAUGUUCCAACCUCUCUUUGGAUUAAAAUAAUCUAAAUUGAGAGAAGCUUGUGCAAUGCUUUCUUGUUCUGUCCCAGUUGUUCUGAUCUUCUGUUCAUGACUAAAACUAUUUUAGUAGAGAGAUAAAAGGAAUGUUAAACUAAUUAGGAACCCAUGCGGGAAACUUUCCCUUAUAUUCUUAAUCACUGACUUUUAAUGUUAUUUCUCGAAUACCUCCUCCAUUGUAUGGCUUCCCCACUUUUCUCCUUAGACAAUUAUCCUUCUGCACAGGCCCAUAGAUUCUCAUUGUAAUUAUUCACAAUCAUUCUGGUGCACUAUCGCUUUUCCGGUCAUAUCUUUUACAUAUUGCGAUAUGUAAGUUUCUCUUCAAUGGAAAGCAUUUUGCCUACUUCUGUGUGUUGUAACUUGUAAUUUAUUUGAUUUAUUUGCUUUUUCCAAUCACUUGGAUAGACCAAUAUUUAUUGAGACCUAUUUAAGAUUAAAAGAUGUCCUUUUCUUUUCGCCUUCUUGUUCAAGUGUGUGGAAGUGAUUGGAUGUUGUAUGAUAUACUUAAUAUUGCACUCAUUGUUAUUAGCAUGAUAUGUUGUACAACAUAAAGGAAAGGCAUAUGUUCUGACAAAUAAAGAUGGUCUUUCUUCCUGUUGUUUUGUAUCUAGAAAGUUGUUGAGUUGAUGUAACAAAUUUGUUAUGCAGUGAAAAAAUUAGGAGAUGUUUAACAGGUCCCCUGAAAAGUAUUUUUUGAAAAAUUGCGUUAUUUGUAUCUAUAUCUUUCAUGCUUUUGUGCACACAUACUAUGAAAAAUGUCCAUCAGUAUUCUCAUUUUAGUUGAUUAGUUAGGUGAAAAUAACGUAUCAUUUUAACUGAAAGAGAAAUGCUUCCUUUCAAAUUUAUCUUAAGCUCCUUUAUAGAAUGUGCACCAUAGCCUGCUGUUUUCUUCUUUGGGUUGUUAUGCUUCACUAUCUUCCCUAUUCCUUCACUUUUUUUUAUUAACAUAAACAUUUUUUCAAAAUGUAGUUCUUUUGACUUUUUGACCAUGUUGCCUAAAUUAUCCUUUUACGUUUACAAUUCUGUAAAAUAAUUUUGUAAUUUGGCAAAUGAACUUGCCUCCUUUGUCCUUUGCCAGCCAUCUAUCCUUGACUAAAACCUUAAAAAUGCUGCAAGUCAACAGAUCUGUUGGAGAUCUGCUUUCAGAUCUGGCGAACUGUAAAAAGGUAUCACAGAGUGCAAUUGCAAGGAGGAAAAAGAGAAUGAAGAGUAGAGAAUUGAAUAAGUGGCACAAAGAAGUAGAAGGUUAAGAAAUGAAAGAGAACAGAAACAAAUGUUAAGAAGAGAAAAGAAGAAUAUGCAAAAGAAUAAGGGAAAAGGGAAGGAGGUCCUCAAUCUUCUCUGUCUCACUAAUAUUCUCUGCCUAUAAAUUUCAAAGACUCCAAAACAGAGCCUGGAUCCCUUUUACUAAUUUAACCAGCCAGCAAUUCUGCUGACAUUAGAGUACAUAAAUAAGGAGAUAAAAGUUAGACCUAAUUGCUGACUGAAAUCCUCUAACUUGAGACUAAUUGGACACCUUUUUUAAUCAUAUAAGGACUCCUAAUUAGGAAGCAAAUAACCAACUAAUAGCCACCAAAAUAUGGAUGGUUGGCCAUCUAUAAUGCCUCCAAUUGAGUUCAAUUAGAACUCAAUAGAAGGAAAGCAUCCACUGGAUUGUUGGGUUCCCAAAACCAAUAUACAUUGAUGUCCACAAGCCUCUAGAACUCCUUAAAAUAGUCUUAAAAUAUUUUAAUCUCAAAGUUAAGGUCUAUUAAAGCCUGUUCAUUUAGCCUUGGCUGCAGCAUAUGUUCUGUAUUUUGUUUGUUGGCUGGCAUCUUAAUGCAUGGUACUAUGAAACUCUAGGAUGCAUCAGUUAUAAUCUCGGCAGUCCCUAUACUUGUCCCAAAUGUCCAAAAUUUUUUUAAUGUCCCAGGUGAAAUGAAAGAACUUUGAACAUGAUUUUUAUUAAUUUGAAGCAUGUACAAGCUCUAUAAGCUACUGACUGCAUGUGGAUCAAAUAGGUGUCAUGUGCCAUAAAUUUUGUUUGACCAGACACUCUUAAAACCUAUGCCAAUAACCGAGACUUCUAACUGCUGUGGCAAGGCACUCUAGGUUUUAAUGUCACAAGGUGUCUUAUGGUGUUGCAUUGUGUCAAAUUGUUCACAAAUGUUGGCACUCCAAAAUUUCUAAGAGGUAAAUUUUGAGGUGAUACACAAGUACAGUGGACAAAGGCAAGGUGUUUCUCUGGAGUGUGAAGUAUUCAUUUGAUAGAGUUUACAGUUGGCGGAUAUUUUAUGAUAUUGUUACUAGACCAGUUCCAUUAUAUGGAUAAGAAUUUAUGUAGCAAGGAGGGCCAUAAGCAUACCAAGACAAAAGAAAGUUGAGGAUGUUAUGGUAGAUCUUGGAUAAACUUCGAGGGAGAGUUAGAAGUUACAGUAUUAAGAGAAUUAUAAGUGUGACACUAAAGUGAGGUCUCACAUAUCUAACAUGUAAGAAUGUUCAAUCAGUUCGUGAUAUUAUUUGAUAUAUUGAGGUGGAUGUGUAAAACAAUGUUUUUUUUCUUAUGUCAUGCUAAAAAUGAGAAUAAGGCUUGUUGUUUAUAUUAAUUCUCAUACUUUGUUAUGUGAGGUCUCACAUAACUAACAUGUCAGAAUGUUCAAUCAGUUCGUGAUAUUAUUUGAUAUAUUGAGGUGGAUGUGUAAAACAAUGCCUUUUUUCUUAUGUCAUGCUAAAAAUGAGAAUAAGGCUUGUUGUUUAUAUUAAUUCUCAUACUUUGUGUAUGACUUGCUUGCAUGGUUGAAAUGAAUGUCAUUUGAAAACAAUGAUUGAAUGAACUCAUUAUGUUAUUGUUUCUUUGCAAUGCUCUUUGCCUGCUUUGCAUGACUAUAUCAUGUCACACCAUUUAAAUAGUACAAAAUUCCAUGGUCAUUUUCUUGCAUCUUAUUUUACUUUUUUUUUCCUUUGUUUGCAAAAUAGGUUGCCAAUAUUUUUCAAUAGUUUCUUACACCCUGUGGUAUAACCACUCAGCGUUAUGCAUUUUGUUCUAAUAUGUCUAAGGAGUCAGUCAGUAUAAUCUUGAUAUAGUAUUUACCAUCAAAAUUGCUUCACUGAUUCAGCAGAGAAAUGUGCAUUAGAACAAAUUGCAUUUAUUAGAGAUUCUUGGAUUUAUGCCUUUGGAGCAACGUACAGCUAUACUAGAAGGUGCUGAAAUUGUUAUCUUUUAUUCAUUUUAUUCCUUUGAUUAACGUCUUGCUUCCAAGCUACUUACUCUUUGGCACAAACUAUGCCACAGAUGCCUACGGACCCCCACCAACACACACAUGUAGGCACAGAUGCACGCACAAAUAUGUCCAUGCACAAACACACUAAUACAAGGCUUUUUUGCUAUAUUUGUUGUAAAUAUUUGCUGUAAAUAUUUGCCAAGCUGUAGAAUUUCUAGUCUGGCAGUGAAGUGAUGUUUAAGCCUUAGUAGCCACUGCCCAUUGGUAAUGACAAGCAACCAAUUCAAACUGAUUAUUCAAAAGAAUAUUUGUUGUGUACGCUGUGGUAAUGCAAUUCUGCAAUUUUAGGGUUUGAUAACAUAUGAUAGUAACAAUUUUGUUUAUUUUGGAGGGUGCAAAUUGCAAAGUUGAGUGUUAUGCAUGUAUGAGAUUUUUGUUUUUGAAUAUUUUUCAAUAUGCGAUUAAUGUAAGGGUUUUGCUUUAUGGAUUGAUGAAGAACACAUGAUGGGUAUAAAUUGGGUACAAGAGUUAAAAGAUGCUUUCGAUGAGGCUAGCCUGCACCCAAUGUUUUGAAUAUUGGUAUGGACCCCAUAUGGUUUUUUCCAUCAGCAUAAUAUGCGUAAUGAUAAUGAGAUAUUGAAACAGACAGCAUCAAAAAAAAUGAAAAACCAUUGGUACUGACCGGUUCGGUUGGUAUGGUAUCAUUGGUAUGCAUCUUCAGAUCGAUACAGCCAUUGCAUAUAAGGAUGGAUGGUUUUGGCAUCUAGGACCCCGCACUAGUAUUCACAUGUAUGGUACUGGCAGCACCAUCUUGUUCAAACGUUUCUAAAUCCAUGCAUGGACCUCAUAAUAAUAGAAAUAGAAAUAAUUAAGGCUAGAUAGAAUGGGAGAGCAAUAUUCACAAUUUAGCUUAGUCUGGGGAGUACAAAACUAGAGACAAAAACCAUGCAGCUGCAGUAAGAAUGAAAAUGUGGUGGUUUUGGUAAAUGGCGGUCUUAAGCAAAGAUUGAGAGGAUGUUUCCAACUUUUUGUUCAAAUGACAACUUUAGUUGCAGGAUUAAUUUAGGUGAUGCUCAUUCUAUUGGAUUAUGCAAGCAUGAGUUAACAUAUUCAUAAUGAACAACAACAAUUGAAGUUUUUGAGGAAAAAGAUGAACGGAAAGUACAUACUUCGUCCUUGAUAUGGGGUCCAGUCAGUCCUUCAAAUCAUAAUCUUAACUAGAUGCUCUAUUUAUAAAUCGUGGUUUAUUCAUAGUUCUAAACUUGAACCUCCAGGACAGCAGCAUGACCUAUUAGACAACAAAAUUAGUAGAUAUUAGAGAAUAAAGUGGCCCCAACCAUGGUUUUCAAUCGAAUACCCAAAUAGGGUAUUAGUUCUUUAUCUCGUUCUUGACCAUAUUGUAAUGGGAUAAUGAAUCUAUUUCUUUGUUUUUUCACCAAGAAAUCAGAAUUUUCUUGGAGAAUAGAAGGAUAUUUGAAAUUCCAAUGACCAUUAGAUAUGAUUCGAUCAGGUCUUGAAUAGUCAAGGAUUUUUCUGUCUUUUUUACUAGAAGUAUCCAACAAUUUAUGUCUUACUCGAUCAUUAGUCAUUGAGAGGUCAAAGAUAUAUCUUUCUUCGAAAGAAAAAGGAUGAACAUUCAUUUGAUCUUAAUCUUUGUGGAGCAGAAAAGAUACUGUACUGGAUUUGCGCGGACCUCCUGCUGAUAUGCAUAAAUGACUUGUUUUUGGUAAUAGAUGAACAUUACCAUGUAUAUAUUCAGAUGCAUAGUGGACAUCGGUAUUCUAGUGCAUAUCUCCCUUCAAAGAGGUGUGCCAAUUAGUUGGCUUGGAAGAACUGUGCUUUGUGUUAUGUCUGGGGUUUCAAUUCAACUCUUUUACAGUGCAGCCAACAUCCCUUACUUCACAUGUCAAGAAGGAAUCAAUUAGCUUCUGAUUUGAAGAAGCUGGCCACUUAGCCACCACUACCCUACCUUGUUGUUAUAGCUACACUAGUAGGUAAAUAAACAAGAACAUCAAGGGACAAGAGGUUGGACAUGCUUGCUUAGGCAUAGAUACAAUCAGAAAAGGUCUUUCACUUAGACGAACCAAGAUGAAGUAGCAUAGCAAAAGACAUAAUCGGAACCAAAUGAUGGUUCUGCAUGUCCAAGCUGUAUGUUGUUUAUUUUAUUUUUCGCUGAUCAGGUGAUCGGGAAAUAAUUGCAGCAGUUUAGUCAAUCUUGCUUCCUAGUUGUUUGCUCUAGAGAACAUUGACCCUAACUGAUUAGGGUUGCUAAGAAAUGCUUCUUCUCUUAAUGGAGAAGACAAGGUGAUAAUAGGGUCAUGAUAUCUUCUGAACCUCUUUUAUUGGAGAUUUCUUUGAAGAACAGGUGCAGCAUGAGCUUGUGCCAAUGUCAGCAUCUUGAAUCAAUAAUGGAUCUACAAUUAGCAUGGCAUGCAUUCAAUGCUGGUGGAUGCCUGUACGUUCCACCAAAAGGAUUGCUAAAUCAGUCUACAUAAUAAGGUGAUUUACUAAGAGAAAGUGGUGUUUUGCAAAAGAAAGAGCUAAUUUAUCAAAAGGCCAAAUUCUGCUUGGUGCAGAUGAUGUCGUGUGGGUGGUGGAUCAUGCGAUAGAGGUAAAAGUGGUGGUGGACCGAUCAAGUUUAAACCAACCAACUUAAGUUUUUGAGGUCACAUUGAGAAGUGGUCAGCCACAUCAGAGAGGGUUCACCUCACUUUUAUAAUGGAAGAGAGCAUGUGGCACUAGUGGGAGGAGAAGUGAGAGCAAAGCAGAGCAUCCUUAGAGACUAGUCAUUUCAAGGAUCAUAUGAUUGGGCUGAACCUGCUUUAGCCAUAAUAAAUUGUGUAAAUCAUGUAUCGAAGAAAAUUCUGUUGAUCGAAAACUAAAUUCUGGAUUUGGGGAAAUUUUUUCAUCAGAAUCUCUUUUAUUCAGAUGUACACAUUUUUAGAUUUGAUUUCUCAAAUCAGAUGUACAUCAAAAGCUCAUGCCUUAAACCUUAUUUAUGUAAUAUAUUGGAUAUACAUCAGCAAUGAUUUUUGCACCAACUAAAGAAGGAAAAAUCAUUCUAGCAA